rnacentral:rRNA from 1 species
UACGUAGGGUGCAAGCGUUAAUCGGAAUUACUGGGCGUAAAGCGUGCGCAGGCGGUUAUGUAAGACAGGUGUGAAAUCCCCGGGCUUAACCUGGGAACUGCAUUGUGACUGCAUAGCUAGAGUACGGUAGAGGGGAUGGAAUUCCGCGUGUAGCAGUGAAAUGCGUAGAUAUGCGGAGGAACACCGAUGGCGAAGGCAAUCCCCGUGGACCUGUACUGACGCUCAUGCACGAAAGCGUGGGAGCAACAGG